AUGGCGGCGGCAUCAGAUGCAUUUUCUUCAAUGAACCUCGGGUCCCAAGGGAGAGAUGACGAUCUCGGUGACUUCUUCGAUAAGUUGGACCUCCAUGAGGAGGAGUUUGAUGAUGUUGUAGUUGAAGAGGAAGCUCCAGAGCUGCUGGAGGAGAUUCGAUGGGUAGCCCUAGCUAGGGUUCAGACCAUGAAAAAUUUCAACCAAUCGGCCUUCUACAAAGACAUGCGGGCGGCGUGGAAUUGUUCACAGGUGGUUCGUUUCUGGCCAAUUGGCCCUAAUAUGUUUGUGGUUCAAGUUUAUUGUCUUGGUGAUUGGGAUUGCAUCAUGGGACAAGUACCGUGGCUGUUCUGCAACAUGGCGGUUCUGUUAGUGCCAUAUGAUGGGUUCACAAACUCUGAAGAGGUGCCAAUAGAGUACAUGCCUAUCUGGCUC
rnacentral:rRNA from 1 species